CAAUUUCUGACACAGGGUUUUUCUAUAGUCCUAGCUGUCCUAGAGCUCACUCUGUAGACCAGGCUGGCCUCAAAAGCCAAGAUAUCUGCCUGCCUCUGCCUGCUGAGUGCUGGGAUUAAAGGCCCGCUCCACCUCUGCCUGGCUCCUCCCUUUCUGUUUAAGGGUUAGUUUAUUAUGAAAAAGGAAGCAAAAACAACGGAACCUAGUGGUAAGUAGGGAUGGAUAAACAAGGCCAUCAUCCACCCACACUUCUGGGGGCCUCUCCUGCUGAGCACCACCACCACUGGGUAAGGCGGAGCCCUCAAGUGCCAAUGUGUAGAACAUUCACUCAACCAACACUCCACUGCUUUGCCUUGUUUAAGCAGAAGAAUUUCAGUCAAGAUGUCUGAUUCUUUAGCUCUUUGCUGGUUAUGACAAGUGCAGAGAGACAGUGCCAGGGUGGCAGGGAGCCCCUUGUAAGCUGAUUCAUGCUUACUGCUGAAGAACGCUCGCUCGCUCGCUCGCUCGCUCGCUCAUGGCACUUAACAACAAUGUUGAGACCGUAAGGUACAUAUGUAGAUUAGAUUUAAGAAGCGUACAACCUAAAAGGAAGUACAAUAGAACAGAAAACCCAUCAAAACAGACUAAACGGGAAAGAAUUACUUUCACAAAGUCACUCUUUAAAAACCUUGGGGAUGCUCUAAUGGCUUGGAUUAGAUUUAAUGAGUCAUCAGAGCAGCUAUGGCAGUCUUAAUUUUCAGUAUCUACUUUCUUUUAAAAUUAUCAUAUAUUUAUUUCUUUCAUAUUGGGGGGAGUCAGUUCUCUCCUUCACUACGUGGAACUGAACCCCACUGGCAAGUCCUGGCAACAAGCUCGUGAGCCAAUGAGCUUCUUACCAGCCUCUCCACGUCUCUCUUCAAGCACAGCUGUAAUUUUUUGAAAAAUUAUUUGCAGUCAAAAUAAUGAGGGUUUGACAUAUUUAUUUUCCCUCAUGUUCUUGCAUUUUCAUAUGUACAUGGCUGAUGUUUGGAGUAAGGCAAUAUCUAUCUGUCACCCUCUGAAAUGGCCUGGGAUGGUAACUGAUAAAGCAGAAUAUGGCUGCAAGUUUGUCUUGAAAGUCUCUUGUGGAGAAUGAGAAGCUCUGAAACUGAGGUCUGAAUCCCGAGGAUACUGCUGGUCUUCCUGGAAAGUUUUCUUUUUCCUUUUUUAAGACAGAAUAUUGUGACUCUCAGACUGCACUGACAUUUGCUAUGUCUCAGGAGGAAGGUGACCUUAACAUCUGGCCCUCCACCACCUCUAGCGGGCGGGACUACAGUUGAGUGCUGUCACUCCAGUUUGUGGUCUGCGAGUCUGAGCCAGGGCCCCGUGCACGCUAUCCGAUGAGCCGAACUCCCUUCCCUGCUGAACCCUUCAGAAGGUCUCAUGUACAGUAUCACUUUUUCAGGAGCAGAAAGAAGACCUUUUACCUCUUUCCACAGGGCCCAACAAAAACCCACCUUAACUAUGACAGGUAUUAACAAUCAAACUUUAUUGUGGGAAAGAUGUUAAACUCUAAAGACAUAAAAUUGUGACGUAGGAAAACAGAAUGGAGAUGAGAUCAUUAAUAAGUGGCUAAUUCCAGAUCUCAGCUAAGGACAGCACAAGGUAGGCUUGGAAAAUCCUGUACCACAAAGGAAGUAUUCUCAGGAUAACAGAGGCAUGCCAACAGGACACAAGGGACAGUGCAAAGGGGUGUCCACUACCCACAUGUGGGAUAAUUUGAGCAUUGAAAAGAAUAACAACUAAUUGGUUACAAUACACUGAAGAAGCAAAAUCCACACAAAUGAACAACAAAGUCUGUAUCCGUAAAAAUUAAAAUCGAAAAAGAACCUUAAAGAGCCCUUACAGAAUGACACGAGGUAACAAAUGAGGAAGUAUCAUAGCCCAAUCACUUGAAGUGCUCUGGUGAAGCAGAUAGGGCUGAAAUCCUUGACAAAGGGAACCACUGGGGUAGGAGUACUGUGUAGCGUCUGCACGGCACCAGAGUUCCUACAGACAGAAGGAUGUCCUAGUGGCCAGAGAGACAACCAGCAGUCAAUGCUUUAGCUAAAACAGUCAAACUGACUCUGCGCCUCCCAACAGAACAGUCCAAGAUGAGGGGAAACUGCAUGUCUCAAUAAAACUGCUUAACAAAGAAAAUGGAGAGAGAAGCAAGAACAGAGAGCUCUUCCGUCAUCCCUAAAAGCCUACUAAAAAAGACAAAUGUGUGGUAAAACAAGGAAAAGAAGACAAAGGGCAUUACACAUGAAAACCAUGGAAACAGUUUCAACAGAUGAAACGUCUCCACUUUAAUGUAUCGUAUUGGUCAUCUAAGGAUUUCACACAUGCAUAUAACCUAUUUUGACCAUAUUUACCAUCAGGCCCACCUCCACCGACCCACUCCCUGCCUAGCUCAUGUCCCCUCCCCCUUUAUAGCCCACAGUGGACACGUCUGUGCUGCCCAUAUACUCCUCAGUGUGGUGGGCCAUCUACUAGAACAUGUUCCACCUAACAGGGGCCACAUGUGUAAUAAAAAUGGGCUUUCCCUCCUCA